UUGGAAUGGCACCUUCAGCGCCAUUAGGGCCUCUCACAUAAAUAAGUAUAUCACAAUAUUUUGAAAACUGGAUUUUGCAUUGACAAAAUGUAAUGGCUUCCAAACAGCUGUUACGGUCUAUCAUGUAAAUCCUUCUUAGUUUGUGGGUUAUUGACCCAACGGACUCUAAUGGGAGUUCUUUGGAGAUGUUCAAUCUAUUGUAUCUGCCCAGCUGCAUCUGAUGCGCCUGUUAUUUGCUCUUUGAAGCUUUAGGGGCUAUUAUGUGGGUCCAGCUGCUGACAGUACAAUAUAAAAUUUCUUAUAAUCUAUCAGAUACAUAAAUACUAGAGUUAACUCCUCUUCUGCAUUUAAGUGUGUAUUUUUGUGGCUUUUUCCUCCAGCCACCAUCAUUACUGCUUUACCAGGUACUUUGGCAGAAAAGGUGGAAAGAAAGGCAGCAGCAGUUACUGAUUUUACUAAGCCUUCAGCGUGGGGAAGCAUGAAACAGGAGGAGCCCUCCAUAGAGACAAGGGUGAACUAAACCACAAGGCUGCUCCUUGACUGUCUCUAGCUGCAUGUCCACAAUCAGCACCAAAAGCCAAUCACUUGUAUUGUCACGCAGCAUUACAGAAGUGGAUCGGCUACUCUAGAACUGGAGGUGAAUAAGUUACAAAGAGGAGCUGGGGUGACCCCCAACUGCUCCCCCCAGAACAGGAGCUUGGGGUACCGUAUCCCAGAGACUGCACUGCAGGAGCUGCCCCAUAUCCUUCCUGAUUCUAUUCUGGGUUCGCAAUGAGAAGUAAUCAUCACUUUUGUAUGAAGAAAUCUAAUGAUGUUUUUAAAAAUAAUUAACUGGAAUAAAUAUUGUUAAAAAUAUAUAUUUUUUUUUUCUUGAGGUUACUUAUAGAGGCUUCUCUCUGCUUGAUACAGCCUAAAUUCUAGAUGUUGGGUUGGAAUGUCAUAAAUACACAUAUUUUGAUAUGGUUCAUACCUAUGCCAGUUAUGCUAAAGGAGGCUUUAUUUUCUUCUGAAUAUUACAUUCAUUUUAAAGACAGAAAAAAAAAAAAAAGAAAGAAAGAAAAAAAAACCCUAGAGAAAUCACAGACGACUUCUCAUUCAUGAGGCAUGAUUUACUGUGGCUGUAAUUCUUGACCUACAAUUUCUGCAGACGUUUUAGGGCCAUCAAACAACAGAAAAAGCAGUACUGCACUUCUAGGGAAGAAUUUGCCUUCCUCAUUUAAAAGAAAAAAAUAAAGAUCAAAACACAAAUCACCCUAUUGCAUAAGAAAUCCAAUUAAAUUAACAAAUAUAAUCUGUCUUAAAAAAAUACAUUCAAACAUUUAAUUUGCAUAGAAACAGGCAGCGCUAUUCAUUUUGAUAGAAGAAAAUCAAAAGUCAUAGCUAGCAGCCACUCUUCUAAACCAGAUUUUGAGCACAACCCCCCAGGGCUGUUUCUACCAAUUUUCCAAUAAAUCAUGUAAUGACUUUUAGAAAAGACAGAUAUUUAAUUCUUGAAUUAGAACUAUAGGACCAUAACCAAAGACUGACAGCCCUCUUUUUCUGCCAUACUCCCAUACAAACCCCUUCAGCUGAUUGGCUGUGAAAUAAUGCAAUAAUUAGGCAAUUAGAUAUUUGGGAGAAUGUAGAAUGAAGCACUGAAUGCUGACCUUUAUUACAUAGAUCAAAGGACAUUGGAAGAAUGACCAAAUAUAUCUUGUUUACAAGCUCUCACCCAUUUUUUUCAACAUUUCAAAAUUAAGAAUUAGGGGAUCAGACCUCCAAAGCUAUGCAUAAAUUUGCAGUUGGUAUUAGAGACAUAGGAGAAAAGCCACUUUCUUUAUGCAUAGAAAGUGCCAUCACUUUAGUUACUAGGGUGUUUUUUCUUAAAUACAUUGAUUUAUACCUAUAGCAGUUACUGAGUAGCAACAAGAUAAAAAUUAUAAGCUCCUUGUUCCCAAAUAUCUUCUCCAUUUCCGUUAAUUGUAAUUAACACUUGGAAGAGCAAGGAAAAAUGGAAGUAAAUCACAAACUAAAUCAACCCAUUCCAGAAAUUCCCUCUUCACUUAGUCAUCAGUAGAAGGAGAAUCUCUGGAGAUGGAAAUUUGUGAAGGAGAUUUAAUUUUUUUUCUUAAUUGUGAAAAAUACGAAGUUUCAGUCACGCGUGUCAGCCAUAGGAAGAGUCAAGGAGUUGAUAUAUUGACCAAAACCCUCUACCCUGUGUUGUUUUACCUUCAACUCACCAGGCGGCUGGAAAUUGCUGUGAAUGCAGAUGUUGUACCAGGCACUCAAAUUGCCUACAAUGUGUCUGUUUUUACACUUUGAGAGUCAGGCUUUCUUAUUCCACUUCUUGCAUUGGCAUAAAAUAGGAAGGAGGAAAAAUGCCUUGAGAAGCACUUGCUGAACAGUGAGCUUUGGAGAAUACAAGGGUAUGGUUGCAGAGAAGGAUCCUUCCCGUGUUCAAAGAAGCACAUUUUGUUAUUGGAGUUCAUUAAGGAAAGAAAAAAACUGGGUUUUUAAGAGGAAUUUAGCUAGGUCUUGAUUGCAGAGUGGUUCUUCUGGAGCACCUGCUGAUGGAAAAUUCAGUGCAUUGCAUAUGUUUACAUGGGCAUAUCAUCAUGGGGCACGUGGAUGUGGAAAAUGCGUUCAGACAUACUGCCUCUGUAGUAUUGUAGUAUUCCCAUUGGUAUCAAACUUGGACGGUUACCUGUAGUAAAACUUGGGCAUAAGUGUACUAAGCACAAGUGUAAGCAUGCCAGGGGAAUAUUCACAUGGUGGCUCUCUGAGCUGGCAAAGGAGAAAAGAAAAGCACAUCACUGCAAAACUCUUGCUUUCCUCAUUUACAUGUUUAACCUUUAUCUUGACUGGAAGGAGAAGAGUUUGUACGUUUUUCCAUCUGUUGGUCACAAGUUUCAGACUGUUCUUCUUGGUGGUCCUUUAUUUGUCACUGGGGACAAAGAGCUGGAUAGAAGGUGCAAGAGUUUACCCUUUCGAGGCAGCUCCUUUGGACCAAAUCUAAAUGCAGAGAAACUCUUCAGUCUGUAAAAGGUACAGCAUAAAAUGUUUAUAGCUUGCACAGCUGGAAUCCACGCACAUGGAAGUUCCCUCUGAGCAAGAUCUAUAGCAAGACACAAAGACUCUUUAAAGCAUAAUUUGUGAGCGAACAUAAUUCUCUAAUUUAAGUUGCAUAUUGCCUCUUUGGGGUUUUAAAAGAAUAUUCUGGCUCUAAAAAGCAAGAAAUGUGAUUAUUUGUGCAUACUCCUUGGAAGUCAAUGGGAAAGACUACAGAAGUAGAAGAUGUGCUCAAAGUAUAAAGUCUUUAAAAUAAAAAUCUGGUGGCAGAAAUGACUCAUAGGCCUCACCCCCAUAUAAAAAUAGAGUUGUGUUUGCAAUUACAGGAACAUCUUACUUGAAGCUGGUGCUGCAGGAGCCCCAGCAGUGCCACAUUGAAAAAUUAAAUGCCCUUUGCGGUGGGGAAUUUUCACAGGCUUAUUUUGGCUAGAGAUCAUCUUGGAUGCAAAAUAAAAAUAUUCAAAUGUAAUUUGUUUAAAUUUGAAUGUCUGCUGUUUUUUUUUUCUGUUGAACAAGUAGUUGAGCACAGUCGGUGGCAAUCAUGUGGCCAAUUCCAAUUUGAGGAUUUCACUGGGAGAUGUCACAUUCUAUUGAUUGCCCACCAAGGCUUUUAAAAUAAGUGUACUUUAAAGUCUAGACAUCUUAGAAAAUAUUUAUGAGCCUUUUACAUAUAUAUGAACAUUCAUAUGACGAUACUAUACAAAUGUUAUAUAUUGUAUAUCUCUCAACUCAAAAUAGACCUUCUGAAGUCCCUGUGUCCAAAAUACUAAUGGAAAGUGAAACUUUUCUGCUGAUUUCACUAGGAUUUGAUCUGGGUUCUUUAACACUGUUAGGACAAGGGAAAAUUUAAGUAACAACUCUGACUGUUCAAACUUGACCUAAAGCCAUCUUGCUGUUUUCAUGCACACCGGUGAAUUCCGUCCCUGUCUCCUGUGUAUGUAGCCCAUCUAGAGGUCAAAGAACUUCUGUGCAUCUUUUGUUCUCACAUCACAUUCUGUUUUAAUGUCUGUGUCGCCUGAUAAGUCAUUUGAAAAUAAUAUAUUGAUCAGAUUGAACUGCUUGUUCGCUUAGACUCAUACUACAGGACAAAAUGAGUGCAAGCUGUAUAUGAAAAAAACUCACAAAUGUUAGCUAUUGCACCUGAGUAUUGAUCCUGGAGAUCUGAGCUACCUAAUCUCAAUAGUUAUAGCAGCACAUCACGCUUAAUGACAGUGACUUUUCAGGACAGUUCUUGCUGUCCUGCCAUUUAUCCCACUGGCCCCAGUCAUUGCACACUGCCACCACAGCCAGGUCAGAAAUACCACUUAUCCCUCUCCUUGGUCUGUAGGCAGAGGCAGAAGAGAAGUCUGCAAGCAAGUUCUAAGGAGUGAAGUUUUCUCAUUGCUUUAGUUGAGAGUCAACAUGUAGGUUUGCACCCAAAUAUGUAGAUAGCAUGAAACUAAGAAUCUCUAUGAAGAAGUUAAAGCCAUAUAUCUCUGUAUCAGCUGUAGACAGAGGCUGUGCUUGUUACCAACAUAUCCUUUACUUUCAUUUGUAAUUAGUAUCAGGAACACAGCAUAGUGAAAUAAAUCAAGUGAACAAGCCAAGAGAAGGCAUGCCUGGUUUAAACUCAGCCUGCCAUAAAAGCUCUUUUCCAGCACAGUACAAACAGCAAAAUUAUUGAUUAACUUGUAUUACUCCACAAGAAGAACAAAUUAUUGCUGAUUAAAGCCAUGCAGGUGAUAAAAGAACUUAACCAACAAAAGCUGCCAGCUUUAGGUUGGGAAACAGCUGUGUCCCUAAUUAUGCAGCCUGAUUUAUACUCUAUUAAAUCAGUAUAUAAGUAACCCAUUUCUCUGAAAGCAUUUAAACCUCUUAUAUUCCACCAAACACAGCGAUUUUAUUUGAAAUAAAUGUAUCCAGCUCUUUUGGGAACAUAUGGUAUAUUUCUCUCUUAUUAAUAAUUCAGUUCAAAUGAGCAAAAAUUAGUUGGUGCAGUUACAGCUGAUUUUGUCCUGAAAAGAUCUGCAUUAAUUUUAGACGUUUUGUAAAUUGGGCUAUUAAAUAAAAGCAUUAUAUGUGAAUUACCCUUUAAAUUUUAAGCAAGUUGGUAGUUUAAUGGUAUUUUCUCGUCAGAUUCAUUUUCAAUCUCUAAAAAAAUUAUAGCCAUUACAGUAAGACAAAUUUUUGAAACCCGCUACUUCCAUCCAAUUACAUAUUGUACUAAUAAGUAAACUAGAAAAGUUUUGUGCUUCAUUUCCUCUACUUCGUCUUUUCCAUCAGGUGACAACUGCUUUCUCACUUCCACCUGUGCCAAUGAAAUCAGGCGCUGACCUCACCUCUCCUCACCUGGAUGUCCACCUCCAGCCUUCGGCUCCAACCUCUGAGCCUUCUGCUUUGUAUCCUUCUGCCCCUCUUCACAUCACUCCUGCAAUGUGUGUGUGGCUCUGGGCUGGCAGUGCUACACGUCAGGGAAUCGGGAGGAAAACAGGAACCUAAGCAGACAUUGGAUGACUUAGUAACAGCCACAGCACAUUGCUGUUUCCAUGUGUUUUGGAUCCUCUCUGAACAAGAUGCUUCUGAAGCUUCCCAUUUCUGGGCAUGGUGUGUAAUGAUGCAACGUGAUGGAAAAUACAGCAAUAGCAGCACGGUGGCAC
rnacentral:lncRNA from 1 species